rnacentral:rRNA from 1 species
AUACGGAGGAUGCAAGCGUUAUCCGGAUUUAUUGGGUUUAAAGGGUGCGUAGGCGGGCUGUUAAGCGUGAGGUGAAAGCUCGGGGCUCAACCCCGGAACUGCCUCGCGAACUGGCGGUCUUGAAUGUCCGUGCCGUGGGAGGAAUGUGUGGUGUAGCGGUGAAAUGCAUAGAGAUCACACAGAACACCGAUUGCGAAGGCAGCUUACGAAGCGACAACUGACACUGAAGCACGAAAGCGUGGGGAUCAAACAGGAUUAGAUACCCUGGUAGUCCACGCAGUAAACGAUGAUUACUAGCUGUUUGCGAUACACAGUAAGCGGCACAGCGAAAGCGUUAAGUAAUCCACCUGGGGAGUACGCCGGCAACGGUGAAACUCAAAGGAAUUGACGGGG